rnacentral:snRNA from 1 species
NNCCUCUAUCCGAGGACAAUAUAUUAAAUGGAGUUUUGGAAUUAUGAGAUGGAAAAGGAGCUUGCUCCAUCCACUCCAUGCAUUGACCUGGUAUUACAGUACCUCCAGGAAUGGUGC